rnacentral:lncRNA from 1 species
CCUGUAGAAUGGGAUAGGUGAUAUUGCCUUGCUUAUUGGAAUGUUGGAAAGAUAAAAGGAGAUAAUAAAUGUGAGAAAAUUGGCACAGUUGCCUGGCACACAGCAAAUGUCCAAUGAUUCUUGGAUUUGCUGGUUUUAUGGUAUUUCCUGGAACUGUGUACAUCUCAAUAGGAUAUUGACUACACAGGAGGAAAUAUAUUGGAAUGGCUUUGCUGGUGAGAGACACGUCCUGGAGAAAGGGAACAGGUCCGCCUGCUGAGAGUCUGAGUGAUAUCCGAAGAAGUAUCAGCACCCUGGGGUUGGCGUUUUUACUAAGAAGGUCAUCACAUAUUAAUAUUCUCACACUUACCCAGAAGGACACGGGUGCCAGAUGCUGCCUGAUGCACAGGCCGGUCCCCUCGAGACGUCUGUGGCAAGGUAUGAGGAGGGAAAGCCGGGAGGGGAGUCAGACAGGUAAUGAGCAUGUCAGCUGCCUCUGCGGCUGGACACCCAGGGUGAAGGGAGAACUAGCAAUGAGCCAUGUUUAGGAAGAUGAGACAGAAGCCUUCCUCUCCUCCUACUCUAAGGGAGCAGGACAGAGGCCAAUUAUGUAUCACAUUACCAUUCCUUAACAAUCAAGAGUUGUCAGACCAAGCCU